AGGAGGGGACUGGGCCUGAGAAAUCUGGAGGUCGUUAGCUUCUUACGGACACCCGAAAGUGUUAUCGUUGUUCCACAAUGGCGCUAUUUUCCUGCGGGACCUUCAUACAACAGACACGGGGCCCAAAACACUCCGUCUCACUCGUGGCGUUCCUUGGGAAGCAAAACAACACUCCUUCCUGUAUCUUCAAUGCUUUCUUUAUACUCCCUUCAGCGUCCAAACUGCCCCAUCUGCGAUCGCCACGUCAUUGAACACACCUGCCG